UACGAAGGGGGCUAGCGUUGCUCGGAAUCACUGGGCGUAAAGGGCGCGUAGGCGGGUUUUUAAGUCAGGGGGGAAAUCCUGGAGCUCAACUCCAGAACUGCCUUUGAUACUGAGGAUCUUGAGUUCGGGAGAGGUGAGUGGAACUGCGAGUGUAGAGGUGAAAUUCGUAGAUAUUCGCAAGAACACCAGUGGCGAAGGCGGCUCACUGGCCCGAUACUGACGCUGAGGCACGAAAGCGUGGGGAGCAAACAGG
rnacentral:rRNA from 1 species